rnacentral:lncRNA from 1 species
CACUACAAAAAAAAGGACCUUGUAUGGCGGCCUUUAGAUGGCGGAUUUCCGCCAUCAAUACUUCAAUAGUUUAGAUGGCGGAAAUCCGCCAUCUAUUCUUUCAGUCCGCCGAGGAAACGUUUUGGCUCGACGGCGGUUCGGAAUUUUUUUCGAUGGCGGUGUUUAGAUGGCGGAAAUCCGCCAUCUAAACUAUCCCGCCCAAAAUUUCGAAUCUCCCCCAAUUUCCAGCCCGAUUACCCGAUUAAAAUGACUUAAGAUGGCGGAAAUCCGCCAUCUUAAGUCAUCGGGGACUCGGGCGGAAAAAGCCCGCCCAAAUUUCGAUUGGGCGGACUUUCACUUAAGUGCUGGCGGCACUUAAGUGUACUUACAUGGCGGAUUUCCGCCAUGUAAGAUUUGGGGUUUAUUAAAAACCCCAAAUCCAGACAGAACGCGUUUGUUCUGUCUUGCUUUGGAGUGAAGUGCUGCCGCCGUUCUGUUCCCGUCGAUUCGUCCGUGCCGCCGUUCUGUUCCGACUCCGUCCGCCGUCGCCGACUCCGAUCUCGCCUCCGGUGGUGGCCGUUCUUGCUUUGGUCUGUCCGUUCUUCCUUUGGUCGGUCCCUUCUUGCUUUGGUGAGAUAUAUUACUUAUAUGUUUUAAUAUUUGUUUUAUAUUUUUGAUUUUGAUUUUGUUUUUUAGGGUAUCUUUGAUUGUUUUUGGGUAUCUUUGAUUGUUUAUCUUUGAUUGUAUUAAUAUAUUCCAUGUCCAUAUAUUUUUAAUCUUUGGGUAUUUCUAUUUUUAAUCUAUUCAAUGUAAUGUUUACAUUUUGAUCUAUUUACUGGAAUUAAUCGAUCUAUUCACCAUGUUUAGAUUUACUGGAAUUUAUACUGGAAUUAAUCAAUUUACAUUUUGAUCUAUUUAGAAUAUAUGUUUAAAUCGCUAAUGUUGAAUAUUGUAUUUGAAUAAAGGAUUUCGGUGAAGAAAUCGCCGCUGCUCUCCGCCUGUCUCCCCGCCGGUUCUCGACGUCUCUGUGAUCGCCCUCUCCGGUUCGAUCUGUGAAGGUAUGUGGAUUUCAAUUUUUCAUUUUUUUCAUUUUUUUCGUUUUUCAUUUGAUUUUUUGAUUUGUAAUUUCUUAAUGAUGGUUUGUGAAUGAUGGUUUGAUUUAAUUGGUUUGAAUAAUUGCUGUGAAUUUCAAUAAUGUUGAAUAGGUUUGUGAAUGAUUUAAUGGGUUUGUGAAUGGGUUUGUGAAUGAUGAAUGGGUUUGUGAAUGAUUGACAUUUCUAUUUUUAGUGGACUGCGAUACUUAUGUUGUAUUGAAAAGCGAGGAUCGAUGAACCAAAUAAUAGUUCUGGUCUUAUCUUCUGUUUAAACUUAGUUGUAGAUCAUCUUUUAAUCUUAGUGAAAUUUCAUCUCUCUAACAUCAUGAGUCCAAACAUAUACUAUAAAUAUACAAGCUUGUUUCAAGAUAUAGAUUGUGUGAUUGUAAUACAAAUUAUUUGAUAAUAACCCAUACAGAUUAGAAUAAAUUAAAAUUAAAUCAAAUACAAAUACAAAUACAAAUGUUAAACAUGCCUUGUGUAGCUGUGUUCCUAGGCAGUAAUUUCUUUGAGGAAUAUUGAGGAUUGUAAAUGGUUUAUCUAUAUUUGAGGAUUGAGGAUUGUAAAUGUAUUGAUUGAGGAUUGAGUAUUGUUAAUUUGGUUUUGGUUUGACUAUUUGGGUUUUGGUUUUUGUUUCUCAAUUUCCUAUUAUCUUUUUAUUUCUUUUCUAUGUAUCUCUUAUUUUGGUUUGUUGCUCGAAUUUUGUUUAUCUAUUUGUUGCUCGCAUGUUUAUGUUUAUUUGAAUGGUUUGAUGUUUUGAUUUCAAGGUGGUUUUGUUAUAGUUUAUGAUGAAGAUGCAUGUGUCUACUAUUUUAGUUUUGAUUUCAAUAUAUGAAUAAGAAUUUAUCAUGUUGUGUUUUUGAUAUUUAAGAAUUUCAAUGCAUGAUUUAAUAAUAAUUAUGAAAUGUGAAGAUUUUGUUUUAAUUUUAAUGAUUUAUUUAAUUUAAAUAAUAAGUGUUUCUAAUUUAAGUAAAUAAUUACUGAUUUUAGAUAAUGUAGAAAAUAAUGAAAUUAAAUAUUUUAUUUACUGUUUUUAAUUAAAUUUAUAAUAAAUAAAUAAAUAAAUAAUUAACUGUUUUUAAUAAAUUAAGUAAUUAAAUUAAUUAUUUUGUCUUACACUUGUAAUUAAUUAAUUUGCAUGUAAUUAUAAAUGUGUUAAUUAGUAAUUAUUAAAUUGAAUGUUUUUAAUGAUUUGUUAACUAAUAAUUAUAAAAUUGUAUCAAAAUAAUAUGUUAAUUAAAAUGUUAAUUAAAUAAUUAGAAAAAAUUUAAUUACUGUGUCUUAAUAAUUUAAAAUUAAAAUAAUUAGUUAUUAAAAUAAUUAAAAUAAUGUUUUGAAUUAAUUAAAUGACAUACUGUUUUUAAAUAAUUAAAUAAUGAAAGUUUUUCAUAUUUGAAAUUAAUCAAUUAUUUUACAAUUAUUUCAUGAAUUAAAAUAAUUAAAAUAAAUAUUUCAUAUUUUAAAUUAAAAUAAUUAAAUUUUUUAUUUAAUCAACUUAUUUGUAAAUUAAUUAAAUAAUUGUAAUUAAAUAUCAAUGUAAUUAAUAAUUUACAUGAAUCUAUAUCUUUAUUAAUUAGUUGCAUGAAAAAAAAUUGUUUUAAUUAUUUUAUGUUUUUAAAUUAUUUAAUAAAUAAUUAAAAUAUUAAAAUAAUUUUUGUUUUUAAAUAAUUUAAAAUUUAUAUAAAAUAUUUAAUGUGUUUUUGAUUUGUUAUAGGUUUUUUAAAAUCAAGAUUGAAGUAAGUUUUGGAUUGAAGAAAAGCUCAUUUGCGG